UCUGUCUGGAAUCAGUGGCGAACGGGUGAGUACACGUGACAUCUGCCCCUGACUCUGGGAUAAGCGCUGGAAACGGCGUCUAAUACUGGAUACGAGCUGCGAAGGGCAUCUUCAGCAGCUGGAAAAAAGAAACUUCGGGUCAGGAUGAGCUCGCGGGCCUAUCAGCUUGUUGGUGAGGUAACGGCUCACCAAGGCGUCACGGGUAGCCGGCCUGAGAGGGUGACCGGCCACACUGGGACUGAGACACGGCCCAGACUCCUACGGGAGGCAGCAGUGGGGAAUAUUGCACAAUGGGCGAAAGCCUGAUGCAGCAACGCCGCGUGAGGGACGACGGCCUUCGGGUUGUAAACCUCUUUUAGCAGGGAAGAAGCGAAAGUGACGGUACCUGCAAAAAAGCGCCGGCUAACUACGUGCCAGCAGCCGCGGUAAUACGUAGGGCGGCAAGCCGUUUAUCCCGGGAAUUUAUUUGGGGCGUAAAAGAGCCUCGGUAGGGCGGGUUUGUCGCGUCUGCUGUUGGAAAACCCCCGGAAGGGCUUCAAACCCUUCCGGGGGGCCCUGCAGUGGGGUUACGGGGCAAGACUAAGUUGCGGGGUAAGGGGA
rnacentral:rRNA from 1 species